rnacentral:lncRNA from 10 species
AUUAGCUUGGUUUUUUAAAAAAGCAAUGUUCUUGUUUUAUCUUUCAGCCCCAGAACUUGCCAGUCAAGAUGAAAAACUUCUUCUAAUGGAAUCCAGCUUGAAAGCUACUCAAGAGCAGCUAACUGAGCAAAUAGCAGAAACAGUUCGCCAAGAACAGAACAGUAGAAAACCCCAGGCAGAGCUGAAGACAGUGACAGAAGGGAUUAUUGCUUCUGAAGAAGAAAAAAAAUGAUUACAAAAUCACCUAUUUUACCGUCUUUUACAACUUCGUUGUAGGAGGUGUGAAAGAGGAGGGAAAUUGUGUUGGAAGAGGAGAUUAGGACAUCAAGAGACACCAAGAGUAACCAUGUACAGAGAAAAACAUCAUAUGAAGACACAGCAAGAAGGUGGCCAUCUGUAAGCCAAAGAGAGGCCUCAGAAGAAACCAAAUCUGCUAACACAAUCAUGGACUUUCAGCCUCCAGGACUGUGUGAAAAUAAAUUUCUGCUGUUUAAGCCACCCCAGUGUCUGGAAUUCUAUGGCAGCCCUAGCAAAUAAAUACAACUACUAUCAGUAUUAUUUGUCUUUUUAUAUUACUCUACAGUGUCAAGCCAAAUUUAAUUUUUAAAAUAAUGAUAUCUCAUAUCCACUUAAGCUAAAUAGGGCCCAGGAUUUCAUUCUUGGGUAUAUAUCUAAGAAAAAUGUAUGCUGAUAUUCACUAUAAAUAUAUUCAUACCAGCUUUAUUCAUAAUAGCCCCAAACUGGAAACAACUGAAAUGCCCAUCAUGAAAUAGGAUAAAUAAAUUGUGGUAUGUUCACACAGUGGAAUAUAAUACAGCUCUAAUGGAAAAACAAAAGCUGAUACAUGAAAGAAACAGGAUGAAUCUCAAAAUAGAUUUUUUAAAUUUUUUUAACUUUUGUGGGUAAUAGUUGGUAUGUGCAUUUAUGGGGUACAUGAGAUAUUUUGAUACAGGC